UACGUAGGGGGCAAGCGUUGUCCGGAUUUAUUGGGCGUAAAGAGCGUGUAGGCGGCCAGGUAGGUGGGUUGUGAAAACUGGAGGCUCAACCUUCAGAGGUCGACCCAAACCCCCUGGCUAGAGUCCGGAAGAGGAGAGUGGAAUUCCUGGUGUAGCGGUGAAAUGCGCAGAUAUCAGGAAGAACACCUAUGGCGAAAGCAGCUCUCUGGGACGGUACUGACGCUGAGACGCGAAAGCGUGGGGAGCGAACAGG
rnacentral:rRNA from 1 species